GUGAAAUGAUACAUAUACUAAAAGUGAAAUGAUACAGAGGAGGUUAGCAAGACCCCUGUACUAGGAUGACAUCCAAAUUCUCGAAGCAUUCCAUUAAAAA
ensembl:snRNA U6 U6 spliceosomal RNA